AUUGAACGCUGGCGGCAGGCCUAACACAUGCAAGUCGAACGAGUGGCGGACGGGUGAGUAAUGUCUGGGGAUCUGCCUGAUGGAGGGGGAUAACUACUGGAAACGGUAGCUAAUACCGCAUACCCUCAGAUGAACCCAUAUGGGAUUAGCUUGUAGGUACGGUAAAGGCUUACCUAGGCGACGAUCCCUAGCUGGUCUGAGAGGAUGAUCAGCCACACUGGGACUGAGACACGGCCCAGACUCCUAAGGGAGGCAGCAGUGGGGAAGAUUGCACAAGGGGCGCAAGCCUGAUGCAGCCAUGCCGGGUGUAUGAAGAAGGCCUUCGGGUUGUAAAGUACUUUCAGCGGGGAGGCGUUACCGGCAGAAGAAGCACCGGCUAACUCCGUGCCAGCAGCCGCGGUAAUAC
rnacentral:rRNA from 1 species